CAAUAGCGUAUAUUUAAGUUGUUGCAGUUAAAAAGCUCGUAGUUGGAUUUCGGAUGGGAUUUGCCGGUCCGUCGUUACGAUGUGCACUGGCCAGUCCUAUCUUGUUGUCGGGGACUAGCUCCUUGGAUUCACUUCCUGGGACUAGGAGCUGACGAGGUUACUUUGAGUAAAUUAGAGUGUUCAAAGCAAGCCUACGCUCUGAAUACAUUAGCAUGGAAUAACACGAUAGGACUCUGGCUUAUCUUGUUGGUCUGUGAGACCAGAGUAAUGAUUAAGAGGGACAGUCGGGGACAUUCGUAUUUCAUUGUCAGAGGUGAAAUUCUUGGAUUUAUGAAAGACGAACUUCUUCGAAAGCAUUUGUCAAGGAUGUUUUCAUUAAU
rnacentral:rRNA from 1 species